UAGCUAGUUCAACCCUAAUCGCAGCCCAAAUCAGGUAAAACUAAAACCUAGUACUUAAGAAUAUCGUACCUUCUCCACCUCCUGCGCACUCAUUCUUCUCUCAUUCCAGCCAUAUUUUCCUCUACUCGUCAUCUGCAAGAGUUGAAGGAAAAGUUGCCCGAGGAAUUGAUGGAUGAUACUGUUGCUAAUGAUGCAAUUUUUGAAAAAGUUAUUUUGAGAACACCAAUGAAGUCAAUGGAAGUUUUGAGAUGAUGGACCAACAAGAGGAAGGAAAAAAAUACAAGAAGGACCAGCAAGAGGAAGUCAAAAUGUUCGUGAUUGUCACAUUGUCACCAUGGAAUUUUCAUUCUUGCAUAGGAACAUAGCUUUAGACAUUUUUGUUUUUAAUCCAUAUUCUUGAAUAAUUUGCUAGUAUGGUGAAUUAUGUUUUGAUAUUCUCUCUUUUCAUAUUUAGAAAUUAAUAGUUAUUAUGAGUUGAACUUUUUA